GUUUGUGUAAGACCCAUAAUGUUAGACGAAUAACUUAACAGGAUGGUAUACCAUGAAUUUGUAAAUGUUUUUUUUCCUCGGAGCUGAGCACACCCUGAAAAUCGAGUCUAGCUACGGCCCUGAGUGUUUAUGUUUAUUUAUUGAUUUCAUUUUUA